ACCUGGUGCAGUUUGAGGGCCAGCUGGACGCCAACCACUUGAGGCUACUCCCUGAAGGCCUGAAGUGUCUGUUGUUGUCGGUGGGGGGAGACAGCCACGCACGGACCCUGCUGCCGGCCCUCACACACGUCACCGGGAUGUGCCCUCACCUACUCAGCCUGUGGCUCCACGUCCCGGUAUCUCAAGUGACCGUUGCCUGCCUCCCACCACUCUCUGAAGUUCCCUUGGUUGUAUUUCUGGUACUGUCUGGUGUUGGGGAUGCGCAGGCAGCCGUGGCCGUGGUCGCAGCCCUUUGUUCCGAGCAGUUUGGGGUUAGUUUUAUCACGUUCCCCGGUGCCACGCUGAGGGUCGACGGCUGGGAGGCAGUGCUGCGAGGCCUGAAGGAGCGCGGCGUGAGGGUGUGGGGGAGAAUUCAGGUACCAGACACCACCAUCACUGACGACGAGAAGGACCAGCUGAACACCCUCGCAGUGUCCCUGCUGAGGUGUGACUUUGAAAGGUGUGUGUGUGUGUGUGUGUGUGUGUGUGUUGCUUUCCUAUUUCUC